rnacentral:lncRNA from 1 species
UUUGAUUGAUCAACAGCCUUAUGAACCCAAUUUACUAUUUGUGAUCAAAAGCCUUAUCAAAAGUCAGAUUUGGCAUAACUACAUGUUUGCUUAAAAAAAUAUAUCUUGAUUUACCCAUCAACUUGGAAUUGAUACAUUUAUGACAAAACCAGAUGGGUUUGAUUGUUGUACUUUCUUUUCAUAGAGGUAUGGAGAUCCAAAGUAGGACCAUGUUUUUGAAGGGAUUCUCAAAUUAUUUGCAAGCAAUCAGUUGGUUUUAGUGUGAAGGGUUGCAAUACAAAGAGAGGGUAGGAUGUCCUAUUCUUCUUCACAUGGCACAACAACUUGAAGCUUCCAGAUUGUCAAUUUUCUCUGUAGGUUGUACGGCUCUGUCCCUUCUCCAUCCAUCACCUCUGUAUAUUUUGUUCAACUGGUAUAUACAAUACAAGGCCCUGGAUCUUUGGGAUUGAUUGAACCAAAUUUAAUGAGGGUUUUCAAGCCAUUCUUUUUCUAAUCAUAGAGAUUGGCCUGUCCUCCUCUUUUUUUCUGACACAUUGAAUUUUUAAGUGUUUGGUAAAGGGACAUAUCUCUCUUUGCUUUUUAUCUAACUUUAUCUGUUAGUGUUUCAUUGCAUGCAUGCCUAUCUCAAAAAAUAUAUAUAUAUAUAUAUAUAAUAAGGUAUAUCAGAAUGCAGGGAUUUGAAUAAUUGUGCAGCAUACACAUUCUGGGGAAGGCUUCUUCCAGGAUCAAACUAAUUGGUCUUGCAUUGAGAUAAAGAGAAAGAGACAAAUCAGCACAGUGCAGUAAUAGAUUCUAGUCAAUGGUGCAGGCCUAAUAUGCAUGUUUUGCUAUUCCCGAUUAACAAUACUAUGAUAUACUUGAUAACACAUCCACAUGACAUAGUAUUAUUGGUCGGGAAUUAAAAAACAGUAUUAUGUCCAUUGCAACUAAGUUUUCUCUCAAAAAUGGGAAAUCUGGAUUUUUUUUCUAAUAGAAAAAAGGGAAAUAUGAACCUCAACAGAUUACAGGGUUAUCUGCAUCCAUUCAUGUCAUAUUCUAAGUAAAAACCAUACUGCUACAUCUCUCAUAUUUUGGUUUGAAAUGGAAAUCUGGAUCUCAAACCAAAACACUGAAUAUGGCAAUAUGGUUUUCUAGAAUGAGUGUAUGAUAAGAAAUCAUCUACAAGACUGUAAAAUUUGAUGGGUUGUUAACUACUGGGUUUUUAACCUAAUAUGCAGUGUAAAAAAAAAAAGAUUUACUGAGCUAAAUAAUGUUAUUGGAUUCUUUCUGUCAUCUUAUUUCUGUUCCUGUCUGCAGAAGGCAGCAGAGGCCUAUACAGGAGGAACUGAGAAAGUCUUCUGUGUCUUUAGCACAGGCAGG